rnacentral:rRNA from 1 species
UACGGGGGGGGCAAGCGUUGUUCGGAAUUACUGGGCGUAAAGGGCUCGUAGGCGGCCAACUAAGUCAGACGUGAAAUCCCUCGGCUUAACCGGGGAACUGCGUCUGAUACUGGAUGGCUUGAGUUUGGGAGAGGGAUGCGGAAUUCCAGGUGUAGCGGUGAAAUGCGUAGAUAUCUGGAGGAACACCGGUGGCGAAGGCGGCAUCCUGGACCAACACUGACGCUGAGACGCGAAAGCUAGGGGAGCGAACAGG